rnacentral:rRNA from 1 species
AUUGAACGCUGGCGGCAGGCCUAACACAUGCAAGUCGAGCGGAAACGAAGAGUAGCUUGCUACUCUGGCGUCGAGCGGCGGACGGGUGAGUAAUGCUUGGGAACAUGCCUUGAGGUGGGGGACAACAGUUGGAAACGACUGCUAAUACCGCAUAAUGUCUACGGACCAAAGGGGGCUUCGGCUCUCGCCUUUAGAUUGGCCCAAGUGGGAUUAGCUAGUUGGUGAGGUAAUGGCUCACCAAGGCRACGAUCCCUAGCUGGUUUGAGAGGAUGAUCAGCCACACUGGGACUGAGACACGGCCCAGACUCCUACGGGAGGCAGCAGUGGGGAAUAUUGCACAAUGGGCGCAAGCCUGAUGCAGCCAUGCCGCGUGUGUGAAGAAGGCCUUCGGGUUGUAAAGCACUUUCAGUCAGGAGGAAAGGUUAGUAGUUAAUACCUGCUAGCUGUGACGUUAC